rnacentral:rRNA from 1 species
UGGAGGCUUGUAUGAACGGACACACGAAAACGCAACUUUCUUAUCGAGGAAAAUAAAAAUUAACCUUCAAGUGAAGAGACUUGAGUAUCAUAAAAAGACGAAAAGACCCUAUGGAGCUUUACUUAAAUUAUUAAACCACAAAUAAAAAAAGCUUUUUUUACUAAAAAAGUUUAGUUGGGGCGACUAAGGAGCACACACCACCCUCCUACUGACAAAAGACUCUAAAUCUACAAAAGAUCCACAAACGUGAAUAAAAAUCCAGCUACCCUAGGGAUAACAGGCUAAUCCUCCUUAAGAGCUCAAAUUGACAGGAGGGCUUGGCACCUCGAUGUUGGCUUAAGAUCUCUACUAAGUGCAGCAGCUUAGGUAGUAGGUUUGUUCAACCUUUAAAAUCUU